GCCGUAGCCUCCUCGUUCGUCUUCUCAGGACUCCAGAGAACCGUUGGGGAACUUUGGGGUGUGCUCGGAAAAGGCAGCGUGCGCACCUAGGGCGAGGGACUAGCUGGGAAGGGUGUGCCUGUGCUUGGGGAUGGGAGCAGGAAGUGUCUGGGACCUCGUCGCCCCCGCGGCGGUGUAUAAAGCCGGGCGGGCCGUCAGAGCGGAUGCGCUGCUGUCACACAUGUCCACCACCACAUGUGACAUUAGUGACGUUAUCCUGACGUCACAGGAUCCAAGAAUGAUGAUCUGUGAAGAGUUUUCCAAGGUCACCUACUUCUAACUCUUUUGAAAGAUUUAAAGACAUUGGGCCUGAAAACUUCAGUGACUUGUCCGGGGAAACGCAGUUUGUGACAGUUCACUCUCUCACAGCUGAAGCACAGUCCUCUGUACUCGCCCAGGAGCCACAGAGAGUGAACAUCCCUCAGACUCUCUCCUGGCUUUGAUGAAGCAAGCUGCCAUGUUGGAGAGGCCUACAUGACAAGGAACUGAAGGUUGCCUCCAGCCAGCUCCAGCCAACAGCCAUCCAGGAAUUGAGGCUCUCAGUCCAACAGGCCUUGAGGAACUGCAUCCAGCCAGCAACUAUAGAAGUGAGCAAAGAAGGGUGUAUUUCCCCAGUCAAGCCUUCAGAUGAGACCCCAGCCCCAGCUGACACCUUAAUUGCAGCCUUGUGAGAGA
rnacentral:lncRNA from 1 species